rnacentral:rRNA from 1 species
ACUCAAAUGAAUUGACGGGGGCCCGCACAAGCAGCGGAGCGUGUGGUUUAAUUCGAUGCUACACGAAGAACCUUACCAGGGCUUGACAUGCAUGUGGUAGUGAAGCGAAAGCGGAACGACCCUUCGGGGAGCAUGCACAGGUGCUGCAUGGCUGUCGUCAGCUCGUGUCGUGAGAUGUUCGGUUAAGUCCGCUAACGAGCGCAACCCUCGCCGCGUGUUAUACGUGUCACGCGGGACUGCCAGUCUUAAGCUGGAGGAAGGUGGGGAUGACGUCAAGUCAGCAUGGCCUUUAUGUCCUGGGCUACACACACGCUACAAUGGCCAGUACAAUGGGUAGCGAAGUCGCGAGGCGAAGCCAAUCCACAAAGCUGGUCUCAGUUCAGAUUGCAGGCUGCAACCCGCCUGCAUGAAGACGGAGUUGCUAGUAACCGCAGGUCAGCUAUACUGCGGUGAAUACGUUCCCGGGCCUUGUACACACCGCCCGU